rnacentral:rRNA from 1 species
UACGGGGGGAGCAAGCGUUGUUCGGAUUUACUGGGCGUAAAGGGCGCGUAGGCGGUCGUGACAAGUCACUUGUGAAAUCUCCGGGCUUAACUCGGAACGGUCAAGUGAUACUGUCGGACUAGAGUACAGAAGGGGCAACUGGAAUUCUCGGUGUAGCGGUGAAAUGCGUAGAUAUCGAGAGGAACACCUGCGGCGAAGGCGGGUUGCUGGGCUGAUACUGACGCUGAGGCGCGAAAACCAGGGGAGCGAACGGG